GUGAAAUGCUGAAUACAACAGGUGUAGUAGACCUUACAGUGAAAUACUGAAUACAACAGGUGUAGUAGACCUCACAGUGAAAUGCUGAAUACAACUGGUGUAGUAGACCUUACAGUGAAAUGCUGAAUACAACAGGUGAAGUAGACCUCACAGUGAAAUGCUGAAUACAACAGGUGUAGUAGACCUCACAGUGAAAUGCUGAAUACAACAGGUGUAGUAGACCUCACAGUGAAAUGCUGAAUACAACAGGUGUAGUAGACCUUACAGUGAAAUGCUGAAUACAACAGGUGUAGUAGACCUCACAGUGAAAUGCUGAAUGCAACAGGUGUAGUAGACCUCACAGUGAAAUGCUGAAUACAACAGGUGUAGUAGACCUUACAGUGAAAUGCUGAAUACAACAGGUGUAGUAGACCUUACAGUGAAAUGCUGAAUACAACAGGUGUAGUAGACCUUACAGUGAAAUGCUGAAUACAACAGGUGUAGUAGACCUUACAGUGAAAUGCUGAAUACAACAGGUGUAGUAGACCUCACAGUGAAAUGCUGAAUACAACAGGUGUAGUAGACCUUACAGUGAAAUGCUGAAUACAACAGGUGUAGUAGACCUUACAGUGAAAUGCUGAAUACAACAGGUGUAGUAGACCUCACAGUGAAAUGCUGAAUACAACAGGUGUAGUAGACCUUACAGUGAAAUGCUGAAUACAACAGGUGUAGUAGACCUUACAGUGAAAUGCUGAAUACAACAGGUGUAGUAGACCUUACAGUGAAAUGCUGAAUACAACAGGUGUAGUAGACCUUACAGUGAAAUGCUGAAUACAACAGGUGUAGUAGACCUCACAGUGAAAUGCUGAAUACAACAGGUGUAGUAGACCUUACAGUGAAAUGCUGAAUACAACAGGUGUAGUAGACCUCACAGUGAAAUGCUGAAUACAACAGGUGAAGUAGACCUCACAGUGAAAUGCUGAAUACAACAGGUGUAGUAGACCUUACAGUGAAAUACUGAAUACAACAGGUGUAGUAGACCUUACAGUGAAAUGCUGAAUACAACAGGUGUAGUAGACCUUACAGUGAAAUGCUGAAUACAACAGGUGUAGUAGACCUUACAGUGAAAUGCUGAAUACAACAUGUGUAGUAGACCUUACAGUGAAAUGCUGAAUACAACAGGUGUAGUAGACCUUACAGUGAAAUGCUGAAUACAACAGGUGUAGUAGACCUUACAGUGAAAUGCUGAAUACAACAGGUGUAGUAGACCUUACAGUGAAAUGCUGAAUACAACAGGUGUAGUAGACCUUACAGUGAAAUGCUGAAUACAACAGGUGUAGUAGACCUUACAGUGAAAUGCUGAAUACAACAGGUGUAGUAGACCUUACAGUGAAAUGCUGAAUACAACAGGUGUAGUAGACCUUACAGUGAAAUGCUGAAUACAACAGGUGUAGUAGACCUUACAGUGAAAUGCUGAAUACAACAGUACAAAUACAAAUGCUGAAUAGGUACAAGAAUACAAGCCUUUAACCUUUAACCUUUAACAGUUUUA